CAGUACAGUCGGAUGUCAAACAGACCGUCCACAGACUGUUUGUGUGGGAACUCAGAGGGUUGAGACACGGUCUGUGGGAACACAGACAGUGGAAUGUAAAGUGUCCGCCAUUUCUGUUGCUACACAGUUGGCCCGGGGAACACUGAAAUCGGCCCACGUGAGAAGCAAAGGCAUCCAGGCCACGGUGUCUUUCAAAAGUGUUGGCACUAAAACUUCCACCUACACAGAAAUCCCCUUGUCCUCUACACCAAUAAAGGGCCCAGGAUUGGGAUCUAGCAAGAGACCUCGACUAGAGUUGGAGCAGGAACAAGGAGAGACUUUGAUUGAAUUUGAAGAGACUCUGGAUUCGAGUUACCACCCUGAUGAUACUGUAGAAGAAUCUGACGUAUCACAGACUGUGAUGUCCAAAAACGGAAAAAUGGGACUUUUGUGGCGUCCAAACAGCGUUGUCCAAACUGCACUUACUUCAGACAAUGGGAGAGCCAGCCCAUCAUUGGAAGUACCCCGGUUGGCAACUUACAAUUAUCUCCUGCUACAUACUUCACUGGUGCUUCCUUCUUCCAACUAAAAAAGAUAUGCAGAGCCAUGCAGUUGGAGAUCUUCCAGUAAGAGACCUUCAGGAGGCAUGCUAGGCAUUAUCUGGAGCCUGCUAUUAUCCACAAGUGGAAAACUGAUCAGCUGAAGAUUUUCUAGCAACUACACCACCAGGGGAGACCAAAUCUGUACAAUGAAAGAAUAAAAGAGAAAUGAAUAAGUGUAUAUAAUUAAUUAUUAUUAGGGCCGGGACUGUAACGCGUUAAUUAAGAUUAAUUAAUUACACAAAAAUUAACGCAUUUUAAUCGCACUUAUUUUUGCACCG